GGUGAAGCUGUUUCCUGCAUUUGAAGGAAUGAACAACCUAUCAGAAGCUUUGGAACAGAAUGUUGUGUUUGGAGCAUCUUUGGGCAUACCAUCUCUUCAUUACGUGUGGGGCACUGUCUUUUAAAGUCUCAGGAUACAUAUGCAAAUUAGGAAGACAAGUGGAGAAGGAAGACCAAGUGCAUGUCUGUCAUCACUGAAUGAAGACUCCAGAGCUGGACAUAGAUUACCUCUGAUCUAGUUGUUGGCUAAAGCGACCCAUUGAGAACCCCCAGAAACCCGGAAUGUUGACAAGGCCAUUGAUAUUCUCUACAAA